GACGAACGCUGGCGGCGUGCCUAAUACAUGCAAGUCGAACGCAGUGGGGACGGGUGAGUAACACGUGGGUAACCUCCCAUCAGAGGGGAUAACACUUGGAAACAGGUGCUAAACCGAUACUGAUGGAUGGACCCGCGGUGCAUUAGCUAGUUGGUGAGGUAACGGCUCACCAAGGCCACGAUGCAUAGCCGACCUGGUAGUGUGAUCGUCCACACUGGGACUGAGACACGGCCCAGACUCCUACGGGAGGCAGCAGUAGGGAAUCUUCGGCAAUGGACGAAAGUCUGACCGAGCAACGCCGCGUGUGUGAAGAAGGUCUUCGGGUUGUAAAGUACUGUUGUUAGGGAGGCGGUAUCUAAAGAAAAAGCAACGGCUAACUCCGUGCCAGCAGCCGCGGUAAUAC
rnacentral:rRNA from 1 species